UGAAGAAAACUUUCUAGCAGCUUUAUCCUGGUGAGCCUUUAUCUCUUUAAUAAUGAUUUAAACCUGGCAGCAGCAGCAUCCUGACUCUCAAAAACCCAGGGAUAUUUUCUCCCCGGCCAUGGAACCAUGAAGAAUAAUUUUAGAAUAUUCUGAAAUGAUCUCAUCAAUGGGGAUGUGAUAUUCAGUAUUCAUCUGAAAUCCUCUACCCAUCUGCUUCCUUCUAGAGAAACACGGGAGAAAAAAACAAGGAAACCAAUAAAGUUGUUACAAAUGAACAGGGGGAAGGGGGGGAGGACAGAGAAAAGGAAAGAGAAAGUGAAAAAGGAAACAGAUGGAAAUCAAGCUGUUGGAGAAUUUUGCCUGGACAAGGCAGGAGAAUGGACACCAGUCGCCCUCAGAAAACCACAAAUCUCCCACGUUUGCCACCAAGGUUUACUGGGCACCUUUUCUACAGGUGCAGGGGAGCAGCAGAGAGCCCUGACCACAGCCUGGCUGGAGGAACCGCUGUCAUGUAAGGAAGCCCAAGACAGACCCUGGAGGCAGCCCUGCAUGAACUGAAAGUGAGUGAGAGAGAGCAAGAGAGAGAUCCCAGCCAUCACCACCGAGGUUCCAGACCUGAGAUAGGCCGUCGUGGACACUCCAAUCUCAGCUGUCAUCUGACUCCAGCCUCAUGAGGAUCUCCAGCUGAAGCCACAUGGAACAGAAGAGCCAUCCAGUCAAGUGUUGCUCAAAUUUCUGGCCUGCAGAAUUGUGAGCAAAUAAAGUUUGCUGUCUUGA